AGAGUUUGAUCAUGGCUCAGGAUGAACGCUAGCGGCAGGCCUAAUACAUGCAAGUCGAACGCUCAGUAGCAAUACUGGGAGUGGCGCACGGGUGCGUAACGCGUACACAAUCUACCUCUAAGCGGGGGACACCUCCUGGAAACGGGGAUUAAUACCGCAUAAUAUGCCGAAGUCGCAUGACUUUGGUAUUAAAGCAGCAAUGCACUUAGAGAUGAGUGUGCGUCCCAUUAGGUAGUUGGUGAGGUAACGGCUCACCAAGCCUAUGAUGGGUAGCCGGUCUGAGAGGAUGGUCGGCCACACGGGCACUGAGACACGGGCCCGACUCCUACGGGAGGCAGCAGUAAGGAAUAUUGGUCAAUGGUGGAAACACUGAACCAGCCAUGCCGCGUGGAGGAAUAAGGUCCCUACGGAUUGUAAACUCCUUUUGACGAGGAAGAAAAUGUUAGAUUUAUCUAAUUUUGACGGUACUCGUAGAAUAAGCACCGGCUAACUCCGUG
rnacentral:rRNA from 1 species